rnacentral:lncRNA from 1 species
UCUCUCUCCUGCCUGAACAAAUCUGGAAGAAAGAACAUACCUCUAGCUAGUGAAUCAUUACAUAUGAUAAGUUAAGCACAAAAUCUACACAGAUCGAAAAUAAGAACAUAAUCACACAAAAGCAUGAAACAGGAGAAACCCUAGGAACAACUAGGAUAUGGUCGCAUGAACUAGUUGUCUAUGAUCACAGGAAAACUGAAAACUACAUGCCCAGAUCAUAGAUUUCUGGAUUUGCAGAAAUAAACACACUACAGGGAUCAAAACAUGCUCAGGAAGCUAGCAAUUCCAUUUUGGAAAAACUAGUUAAAAACAUAAAAGGGGGAUGAUUGCUCCAGUUGAGAGAAAAUAUGACUAUUUUCACACCCUUUGGAAACUGAAAAACCAAACACUGUUAAGACACUUUAAUCUACUUGUUUUAGACACUUUCUACAUGUUCUUAAAUAGUUGUGAUUGAAGGACUGAAUUUAAGUAACUUUAGAAGUGUAAACUACUAUGAUCGGAUGCUUGCUUACACUGAAUAUUGACAUGCAUUAACAUGAGCACUAAAAAUUGAAAUUAACAGGAAAAAGGACAAACACAAUCAGGCUAAAAACAUUCACACUAGAAGGCACUCACACAAGUAGCAACAAACAAAAAGAAUCUAUAAAAAUGAUUACAUAUUUACAGUUCAGAACUAAAAGGAGAAAUUUGUGACUGUUAGAUCAAAUUGCUGGGACCUUCUCUGCAAAAUUACUCUGCACUUAUUUACAGUUCAAAGCUGAAUACUUGUUUGCAUUAAUAGAUAAUUUACUCAAAAUAUUGAGUGCAGGUGCCUACAAUCAAACCAAAUGCAAUGAAAUCCAGCAUCAAAGGACAUGCGAUGUACCUCAAUGAAGAUGAAGUUGAUUUCCUUAACAUAUGGCUUUCUAAUAGAGAAAACAAUCCUGAAAACAAAAAAAGUUAUCAAAAACAUGCUUUCUUUAACUAGAGUCUUGACAAAUAACAAAGUGGAUCAUACUCUUUUACUGAGCUACUUCAGGUGGUUCAUACCGCUUUUAAACGGACCCGCACCAAGAUGUUAUUGGAUCCACACCCCAACUCUUUUCAACCCACACAGGCAAAGCAGCGAGAAAGGAGAAAAAGAACCCAGGCAAUACUUUCCCAUCUCUAAUCUACUAACCACACACAAUUAAAAUGAAAAUGACAAAAACCACUAAAAUUACACUAUAAAAUCAACUAAAAUUACACUAAGAUUUACACUUUAAAUACCGCUGUAAAUCCAGUUUGAAUCCACUGUAAAAUCUACUACACUAAGAAAAACACUGAAAAUACGGUAGGAAUUACAGUGUAAAUCCAGUAGGAAUUACAGUAUAAAUCUACCUAGAUUUACAAUGUAAAAUCGACCUGGAAUUACAUUGUAAAUAUAGUAGGAAUUACAGUGUAAAUCCAGUAGGAAUUACAGUGUAAAUAUCUAGAUUUACACUGUAAAAUCGACCUAGAAUUAUAGUGUAAAUAUAGUAGGAAUUACAGUGUAAAUCCACUUAGAAUUUCACUGUAAAUCUACCUAGAAUUACACUGUAAGAAUUGCAGUUUUGAACAAGCCAACAAAAAUGAACACUAACCAACAGUAAGGAAGUGCUAAAAUUACUGUGUAAACUACUUUGUAAAUUAGUGUGUGAACCCACUAAGAAUUACUAUGUAAGACCAAUUAACAUACAGUGUAAUGCCACUGGGCAUUACAGAGCAAAAUCAACAAAUAAUUACACUACAACCCAUCAGGGACUACAGUCAAAAAACUGGAAGAGGACAUGACCGGAAAUAAAUCCACUUCAUCAUAGCAGCACAUGCCCUGAGCGGGUACACACCCCAUCUUUAUCAAAGCCAGACUAGAAAAAAGCAGCUAAAAAGCAUGGCCUAAGACUUUCUCAAAAUCAUGAUCAUCCAUUUGACGUUCCUGCAGUUAACAGAUGAAACAAAUGAAUGAACUAGAAAACUGGAACAAAUAAGCUACCAAACAAGAAAUAAAAAAAAUAAAAGAAAUAAAAAAUCAAAUUAGAAAUAUAACCUCCGAAUCUUGAAAAGGAUCAUCCUCAGCAAAAUCAUUGGGGACAAAAGGAUCCCCAUCUGAAUCAUCACAAUCUUGAACACAAGCAGCAUAAGUGCCCUUACCAAAAGCCUUCAUGAGUCUCCCCAUACUUUAAUCUAUAACCUAAAUAUGUACAAACACAAAGAAAAGGACAAAAUGUCUGAGAUGAAAUGGCAAAAGGGAUAAAACAUAAAAAAAAUAUAAAGAAGAAAUGCAUUGAUAGCAUUUACAGUCUACAUCUCUUUUAUUUCACUACAUAACCCACUAAGAAUUACAGUGAAGAAAUCCCAUGCGAAUUACAGUGGAAACCAACUGAGAAUUACAUUGUAAAUACACUGUAAUCACCCACUAAGAAAAUACACUGGAAUUCCGAUGAAGAUUACAGUGUACAUCCAAAUAUAAUUAUAGUCUAAAUCCUCAAGAAAAUACACUGGAAUCAGAUGCAUCACAAGAACAUACAAACUAGCGGUGCAUCAUAAGAACAGUCACAAUUCCUCUGCUACUCAAUUAAAGUGUAAAUUACACUGAAUUUACACAGUAAAACCAACUAUGAAUUACACUGUAAAUUUGCCGACAAAUACAUUGUAAAUCCAAAACGCAAUUCCACAAUAAAAAUUCAAGUGAAUUACACUGUAAUUCCACUAGCGAAUACAGUGCAAAUCCAUGGCAAUUACACUAUAAAUCAGCUAUCAAAUUACACUGUACAUCACUGACAAAUACACUGUAAUUCCACUAACAAAUACAGUGCAACCCCACUGACAAAAAUACACUGCAAUUAGGACAUAUACACUAUUAUUCCACUAGCAAAUAUAGUGCAAAUACACUGAAAUUACACUGUAAAAUAACCGGGGAUUACACUACAAAUUGCUUUGGGUUUACACUACAAAUAUACUACCUAUCCACAAGAAAAUUACACUGGAAAUCCAGUACGGAUUACAGUGAAAAUCAAUGAAAAUCCAAUAUAAAUUACACUGAAAAUCACUCUAAAAAACAAUGGGGAUUGCACUGUAAAUCCAAAAUAGAAAUUACAGAGUAAACCACAUACCCGCUAAACGAUACCAGUGAAAAGAAAUGGUCUAGGGAUUAAAGACCAGGGAACAGAAUACAUCCGUUCAAAUUGACAGAAUACAUCAGAGUACUACAACUAAGCAAGCCAGCCUCACAUGAACAACUCGGACUCCAACAUCCAAUCAAUUAUAGAUCAGCACAUCGAACUGACACACAUCCCAGCUACGGCAGCUACCGCGCUUAGCAGAACAAUCAAACGCAUCCCAGAAACGGUGCAACCUAAACAAAUCUACACGGAAAAAAGCUGCGGGGGAUGGAUACAAUCAUCAAAUCUGACAGACAAAACCAACUCCCUACCUAACAGAUCACAAGAACAACAAAAAGGGAGGNNNNNNNNNNNNNNNNNNNNNNNNNNNNNNNNNNNNNNNNNNNNNNNNNNNNNNNNNNNNNNNNNNNNNNNNNNNNNNNNNNNNNNNNNNNNNNNNNNNNNNNNNNNNNNNNNNNNNNNNNNNNNNNNNNNNNNNNNNNNNNNNNNNNNNNNNNNNNNNNNNNNNNNNNNNNNNNNNNNNNNNNNNNNNNNNNNNNNNNNNNNNNNNNNNNNNNNNNNNNNNNNNNNNNNNNNNNNNNNNNNNNNNNNNNNNNNNNNNNNNNNNNNNNNNNNNNNNNNNNNNNNNNNNNNNNNNNNNNNNNNNNNNNNNNNNNNNNNNNNNNNNNNNNNNNNNNNNNNNNNNNNACGAACAAAAUCGCCAGCGAUGAAAAUGGGGACGGAUCGGUGCGUGGCCGAGAGAUGCCGCAGAUCCCGCCGGCAGGAACAGAAGGGAGGCGGAGGAAGCGGGGCAGCACGAGGGAGAGCGCGGACGAGUCACCACCAAAACACUGGAUCGAGCGGUGAGGCGGAGCUCCAAAUCGCCAUGGCUAUCUCUCUCUCGCUCGACUCUGUUCGGGGUUGCGUGUUCGGCUCGGAGGAGGAGGGUGACAGUGUCAACCACACAGACACGCGGGUUGCGAUGGAAAAAAUAACGGGUCAACCACACGGGCCCGAUAAGUGAGACGAGACAAAUAACAGGUCACACACACGAAUCUUCACGCACAGAUCGCAGGGCACAGAAAACGGAUGAAGGCGAAUUGUUUUCAUCCGCAUGUAAAUUAGCAAAUCCGUUUUCAUAUAUUUUACUAGUAGUGUGUUAAGAAAAAACAAGCGCCACCGCUUUGCAGACCACGCGCGCGCCACUCCACGCUGCCUCCGCCGUCCAACCCUCCACCGCUUCCUCGCGCGCCACCUCACGGCAAAGCCGCGACGCGCCUCCCCUCCUUCGCCUCCACGUCUCCGCCCUCUCCCACACCUGUCUCCCUGUGAGCACCCACCCACGCCGUAUAUAACCACCAUACCCACGCAUGAUCCAUCCAUGUCGAUCGCAAGAUUCAGCUGUACUACUCACCUAGCCACCCUACACACGCUCGGGGCAACGCGGCAGAUAACCAGACGCCUUCUCGCCAAGAUGAGCCAGGGGCAGCAGAGGAGGCCGUCGUCCGACCAAGCCCAGGCGGGCGGCGGCGGGCAGGGCCAGGGACAGGGAGGAGGCGCCGUCCGCUACGGCGACGUGUUCCCGGCCGUGACCGGCGGCCUCGCGCAGAAGCCCGUGGCGCCGCAGGACGCGGCCACGAUGCAGUCAGCCGAGAACCUCGUGUUCGGGGAGACGAUAAAGGGCGGCCCGGCGGCCACCAUGCAGUCCGCGGCCAUGCGCAACGAGCGCAUGGGCGUGGUCGGCCACGACCAGGCCACGGACGCCACCGCCGAGCAGGGCGUCUCCGUCUCCGAGACCCGCGUCCCCGGCGGGCGCAUCGUCACCGAGUUCGUCGCCGGACAGGCCGUGGGCCAGUACCUCGCGCCUGAUGAUGCCGCCGAUGCAGGUGAAGCCGGUGGCGACGACACGAAGAUAACUAUUGGCGAGGCGCUGGAGGCGGCAGGUUACGCGGCGGGAGGCAGGCCGGUGGAGCGCAGCGACGCAGCGGCCAUCCAGGCGGCCGAAGUGCGAGCCACCGGGCUGGACGUCAAUAUCCCUGGUGGCCUGGCCGCGCAGGCGCAGUCGGCCGCCGACGCCAACGUCUGGGCCGCGCGAGACGAGGAGAAGGCCAAGCUCGGCGACGUGCUCUCGGUAUGUCUGUAGUAUGUCCUGCACAUCGACGCUACCAGUACACAUAUGCUUGAAUCCUUUGAUGUUACUGACUGCGAUGGUCAACCUGGUGGUCGACCUGCGUGCACGCAGAAUGCAACGGCGAAGCUGGUUGCGGACAAGGAGGUGGAGGCCGCCGACGCGGCGAGGGUGGCCUCGGCGGAGACCCGAAACAAGGACGACAAGACGGUGAGGCCGGGAGGGAUAGCAGCGUCCGUGGCUGCGGCGGCGCGGCUCAACAAGCAGGGCGCAUAGGCAGGCCUCUGCCGUGCGCGUACGUACGCGGCGUGUGCCAGUGGUUUGCGGGUGCAGGCCGCCGGCUGCUCGAGUUUAGCGUGCCCUUUUGCAUGAAGUGGCACUCUCCUUCGUACCAGCGUCUGGUUCUCGUGCUUCUAGCUUUACCCGCUUCUUAGUUUCAGUAGUUCUAGUGCUUUUAGCUUAGUUGAAGUGUUUCUUGUGCUUCUAGCUUGGUUGAAGUCAAGUCUUCUCAAGCUUUUUGUAAAAAUGUAUAAUAAUUCCACUGCUAUCUCAAGUCUUAAACUUCUUGUAAUAAUGUUAUUUCACCAAAUCGGAGGAGUACCUUUUCUUUAUUUCCCUUCUUUGCUCGAGAACAAAAAAGUGCAAAUUUUCAUUUCCUUAUUCCUUGAGAACAAAAAAGAGGGAUGGCAGGAGGUGUUGCCCCGGCGUGGUCCGCGUCGCCCAACGUUGCUAGCCCCUGCAAUGGCUCCCCGUCCAAUCCCUGCUUGGCUGCACGGUAGAUGUUGCAGAUGCUUCGCUCCUGGGCAUCGUGCGGCCAAUUGUAGAGAUCAGCUUCGGUGCUCCCGUUGCUUGGAGAAUGGUCACCGUGCGAGUGGAUGCCGCUUGGAGAAUGGUCACCGUGCGAGUGGAUGCCGCAAUCCUUGGCGUCCUCUAAGUUCUUUGGCAUGCCUUGCCAUGUCGCCAUUCCUCGGUUCCAUGUGCCAUCCUGCCAUCCUGCUCUAGCUUCAUGUGAAUGCCGCAAUCCUCGGUGUCCUUUAAGUUCUUUGGCAUGCCUUGCCAUAUCGUCAUUCCUCGGUUCCAUGCGCCAUUCUGCUCUAGCUUCAUGUAAAGGUGCAAUGAAAUCCGUGCUCACCUCAAUUCUUGGUGUCCUUUAAGUUCUUUGGCAUGCCUUACCAUAUCGUCAUUCCUCGGUUCCAUGCGCCAUUCUGCUCUAGCUUCAUGUAAAGGUGCAAUGAAAUCCGUGCUCUCCUUCAAGGUCUUGAGCAUCUGUCGUCUCUGUUACCGUUGGCUCAGCAACCUCAUCCGAUAUGAUGUUGCGGUCCUCUCUGGCCAGGACCGGUCAGACAACAUUGUUGCAGAGUUUUCUGGUACAGGUACAGAGCUUUCUCGAGCGGGCGGAGGCUACUCUUAGCAGGCUCUUCCUUGCACCGGCUAGGUCAUAGACCAUUCUGAUGUCAUGCCCUUCUGGCGUGGAAGAUGUUGGCUCUAUGAAGGAAGGGAGGCAAGAGUUAUAUGAAUGUUUAUCCCCUCGUGUUGAGAACGGUUCAUCGUCACUCUCAGUCGAGUCCAUUGUUGUGCUUGAAGCUCUGGUGUUGCACGUCAUGCCCGAGCUACGAGAGCUAUGUCUUAGCCCUAGUUCACCUAUCUCUGUAGAGCAUUUGGAGGUGGUCUCAUCGGCGGCCUCGUGUGAGGAGCAUGUGUUGCCAAAGUCAUGUGAGCAACUGAAGGUGUCUAAGUUCAUCAUGUUGGCGGUUCCUGUGGUCGAUGAGGUUGCUAUUGGAAAACGUAGUAAUUUCAACAGUUUUCUUACGCAUACGCAAGAUCAUGGUGAUGCAUAGCAACGAGAGGGGAGAGUGUUGUCUACGUACCCUCGUAGACCGAAAGCGGAAGCUUUAGCAUAACGCGGUUGAUGUAGUCGUACGUCUUCAUGAUUCGACCGAUCCAAGUACCGAACGCAUGUCAUCUCCGAGUUCAGCACACGUUCAGCUCGAUGAUGUCCCGCGAACUCCGAUCCAGCAGAGCUUCACCGGAGAGUUCCGUCAGCACGACGGCGUGGUGACGGUGAUGAUGUUGCUACCAACGCAGGGUUUCGUCUAAGCACCGCUAUGAUAUGACCGAGAUGGAAUAUGAUGGAGGGGGCACCGCACACGACUGGGAGAGAUCAACUGAUCAACUUGUGUGUCUAGAGGUGCCCCCUGCCCCUGUAUAUAAAGGAGCAAAGGGGAGGCCGGCCGGCCCUCUAUGGGCGCGCCAGAAGGAGAACUCCUACUCCUCCUAGUAGGAGUAGGACUUCCCUUUCCUACUCCUACUAGGAGGAGGAAAGGAAGGAGGAGAAGGAGGAAAAGAAGGAAAGGGGGGCCGGCCUCCUAGUUUAAUUCGGUUUGGGCUAGGGGGGCCGCGCGCUGCCUCCUCUCUUUCACCACUUGGCCCCCCUUUAUUCACCUUUUAUUUGUGGCUCAAAAAUUUCAGAAAUUUUCAUGCCUUAUUCAUUCUUCCGCUUGAUCGGAAUGUUUUAGUAUUGCUGCUAGCCUGCAUGUCUAUGAGUAAAGAUUAUUCAAAGAAGUGAAUUGUUGGUGUCAUGUAGAAUUUUAUUUUCACUCAUGUAUUAAUCCAUCCUUUAUAGCAAGAAAAAUUGGUAGCUAAUGUAUUGUCGUCGUGGACGUGUUUGUUCCCAACGCGUUAUGCUGCCGAAAUUUCUGACGAAAACUCCCAUGACCGAUCUUGCCUCUAAGACUGGCUUAAGUGUUAUUAGUGAUCAAAUUUUGGAUCUUAGGAUAUUGUUAAGUGUAACAAUCAGUUGUUAUAACAUGAAGAGUUAAGCAUGUGAUUCAGUUACUUAGACCAUGAUUAUCUCAGUCGCUUCUUACCGUGCAUUGAACUUUGGGGUUGCUCAAACGCCAUCUGUAACACAGUGAUCAUAAUGACAACUUACAGGUUCAUCGAAAAGUUUGAUAAAGGAGUACAUAACUCAAGAGUGAGAUUUGCUCCCCCGACAAUGGAGAGAUAUUUUUAGGGCCCUCUCGGUGUGAAUGCAUCCAUCAUUGUCUGGCCAGAUACAGGUGACUAUGUCACGGGAAUGCCGAAACACUUCAACAAGAAAGAAGAACAAAACCAGUAACGAGGAUAACGAUAUAGUGAACAUGUAUAUGACUCAAAAGGAUACUGAUACAUCUAAGGUUGUUGUGAAGUAUCGUGAAGAAAAAUGAACAUGACAUGAUAACCAAAGGUUCACUCGAAAGUCAUUCAUGUAUUCAUAGGGAUCGAUAUGGACAUCCACGGUUCCGCUAUUGGUCAUUGAACAAGGGGUUCCGUUCAUGUCUAUGUUUUACCGAACCUACAGGGUCACAAGUUUAAGGUAAUCAUGAUCUGCCAAGUGUUAGUAGGACAGGAAUAAUGAGAAUAUAUUUUUGAAAUUGUUUCAUGAAUAUUCGAAAUAGUUUCGAGAGGAACCGAAAGCUUUCUGGGGUCACCGCAAAGGUUUCGAAGUUUAUCAGGCAAUAUCGGAUAGGGAGAAUAUCAUAAGAAAACCAAUAUUCAUUGAAAACUUUGAGGAAACCAUAUUUCGGAAAAAUCUGGAAAAAAAAUGCAGGAUGUUAAGAGGGUGAUGUUUUAUCGUCACGUAAAAUUUCAAGUUGAAACACAUUACGGGACAUGAGCUAUGAAAAAGACAGAUUCAGCCCUGAAUAGUGACAUUACUAUUUGACACUAUUCAACAUUGAUUUUAUCUUUUUCAUAGCUCGCAUCUCGUAAUGUAUUUCAAUUUGAAAUUUUGUGUGGCAAUAAAACAUCAUCCUCUUAAUAUCCCGUAUUUUUUUCAGAUUUUUUUGAAACUUCAAAACAUUUUUUUCUCGUGGUUUUCACCGGUUUCCACAGAAUGUUGGUUUCUGUAUGAUAUUUUCCCUGACAGAUAUUCCUUAUAAAUAAUAUAUAGGUGAAAAUAUUUUUGAUGAUGUUAAACUAAUAAUAAAAGGCUCUAAUAAUUUUUAGAAGGAUUUUAUAUUUAAUUUAAUGUCAACGUGCCUUAAAAGGCCAAGAGGUGGAAGGAGAGUUGGGCCACAUAGGCCCAACUGGGGAUGGCGCCCCCUUUCCCUUAGUGGGAGGCCGAAUUGGGGUGGGGAAGGAGGAGUCCUUCCCCCUUUGGCCGGUGCAAGGGGAGGGGAGUCCUUCCCCUCCUCUUGGCAGCCCCUCCUCUCCUCAAACCUAUAUAUAUUGAGACUUAUGCACUUUUAGAACAAACAAGUUCAGGCUUUUGCAUAUGCGACGACUCGGAGAUGAUAGUAGUCCUCAACGCUCUUUGAGAAAUGGAUCUAGCUCAUUAAGGGAGUGUGUUGAGUUUUUUUUGGAUCAAUCAUUAGUUGGUUUAGAAAGUCGCCUCUCUAUUUUUAUGUGCAACCCUCCUAUCUUCUUUCUAUCUUUUCGGUGUGUGCCCGCUUGUUGCUCUUUUAAUGUGGAACCUGGAACCUACAAUAAAGCACAUUUUAUGUUUCAUGCAAGCUCAUAUUUUGUAUUUAUCAUUUCCUUUUCACAGCUCCUAUGUUUUCUAAGUGUUAUUGCGCAUAUCAUAGUUCAAACUGCUAGUACAUACGAGUGCCUAUGUGACUAUCCUAAUUUUGUCAUCAUUUUAUAGUUCUGCAGGUAGUGUGGGGAGGAUGACCAUGAGUAGAGUGACACUGGCAUAUAUUUCACCACACUGAAGUGAGAGGAAGCAUGUUUCUUUAUAGGCCAAGGUAAGUUUUGGCAUGGUCACUGUUUUUCUUUGCACAUUUUUUACUGGCAGUAUUUCCUGCUUCAGUACACUUGUCAUUGUGAGUCAUUCCUGAGUUAUUAUUUGGAUUUUGAGUUCUAUAUUAACAUUCAAACUUUCAUUGUCCAUUUUAGUAUGUUGUUUAAGUUAUUUUGCUUUGAUACGUUUUAUCUUGGUCAGUUGUGGGUAAUGUUGACAUCAUUUUUCUUCUUAUGUAGUCUGGUUAGGGGUUGGGUAGUGGGUUGCAAUCCGGCCCUAUAGGGCGGGUUGAACGUUCGGAAAACCUAGCAGGGGUGGGGGCUAAAGACAGAGGCCAAAUGGAAUUUAACCUGAAGGCCAAAUGACAUCAGAUUAACUUUUUACGAACAAAACAAACAGAAACAAAUGCACGUGUCAAUGGGACAUUGGAAAAAAUGUACGACUUGAACCAAAAUGAAAAACAAAUGCCAGAUGAUUAUACACUCGCUAUCUUAAUGAUGUCACAUAAACUAACAGAUGAGUUUAAAGAGAGAAAAACAAAAAAAUAAGGGUUGCUUUUCUUGGCUAAGAGAUUAACCUCUUAAAAAAACAAUUUGUCUUCGAUAUAUGCAAUAUAUACACACAUUUGGUAGUUCGAUUUUAAUCAUCCUUUAACUCUAAAAUCAUGAUUUUUUUAAUGUUGGCAGAAGAACUACCAAAUCCACUGAUUAAAAAGGAUAUUAGAAGAACACCUCAAAGGAGGAAGGCACCGCAUAAAAGCGAGUGACAAAAAGGAAGAAAAGGAAAAUAGACAACUCGAAUAUUUGAGGUAAACCGAGUGAAAGCCUCAACAAUGCCUAGCUAGCCUAGGCCUAAAGCAUCACAGUACAUACAACGAUGCCAUAAGGCCAACGCCCCACAACGCACCUGGUCAGGCACUCGAGCGAGAUUGCCCUAUUAGAGUGCACACCGAAACCGUCGUAUUAGUCUGGGCUGCCACAAGCAUGUCCCCAAAUUUCGACUACACCAUAGAGGAACAAUAUGUCCGAUAGAGCGAAUACAUGUCGUUCGUAACUCGUCAACUUGUGGGGGGCUGUCAGGCAACUCACCUCGUCGACCAAGCAUCAAGUCUCAAAUGAAUGCACCACCAACACCUCCUGCUUACCCAAUCGACGUCCUCUCCUAAUCAACCACACCACGACUAACCCGGUGUUACCAUCAUAGUACUUGACUCCAGAGGAAUGAUUAUAAAAGAUAAUUAUGCAAUAUGCGCCACCAUUAUACACGAUUUUCACCGGGAGCCAAGAGCUCAAGCCCGGGAGAGGUGUCGGAUCCCCUCGGUGGUGCCUUCAACAAGGAAAAUCACACCCGAAGGCAUCGUUCACCACUAGCCCCGACCGAAGUCCAUCAUGACUUUUGUUCGGAGAACCAAGCACCUUUGCCAGAGAUGACACCCCCAACACACCACCGCCAGAUUCAGAGAUAACAGACACCACAUGUUGCAUCGCACAGAUCUUGCCGGAGCACCACCGACGAUGCAAGCCCAGGAAACCAAAAGGCCUUGCCUAGACCAUCACAACCGCAGACCACAAUCUCGACGGGGAGUCACCUCGCAAACCGCUCGCAACACAGACGCUGACCGAGUUUUCUCUAGGCCUUCGGUCGCUGGAGCGCCAGAUCGGGCCGAAAAGGACACGACAAAUCCAGCCAUUGCAAGCUAGAGGCCGCCAACCUGGGAUAGCUGCCGAAGCAGCGUGUCUCCAAUAUACCGCGCUGUGAUCAAUGAGCACAACGGACCUCCACAUCCGCGCCCACAAGACAGCUAGCAUUGGGAGCCUCAAGAGCAACAUAUCAGAGUGAAGGACCCGCCCGAGCAUUCUCCCGAGCCUGUUGGUGUAGCCGUUGCUCCUCCCUGGUGCUACUCGCCCCCUGCAGCAUGCGUCGUCCUCGAGACUAAAACCCAACUUCAACAUGGUCGACUCAAGGUAAUGUCACUCGACACGAUCAUUCACUUUUCAUCGUAUGCAAUUAUUGGCACAAACUGCAUUACCCCCUUCUUUCUUCUCUUCAUCGCAUGGACACUCUCAUGUGCAAUUAGGAUAUUGUCUGUGACAAAGUGACUCGGAACAAAAGCACUAUGUGCACAUACAUUUUCCUUCUAGAGAAAACAUUCGUUAUGCAUACUGGGUGGAUCCGUUCCAUAAUUACAUUGUACUUUUUUUUAACAUAACUACGUUGGAGUACUUCCUUGGUCCUAAAAUAAGUGUUUCAUGUUUAAGUUUAGUACUACCUCUGUUUCGGUGAAUAAGUCAUUCGCGUAGUUUUAGGUCGAUGAUUUAACUAUCUAAAUAUGUAUUAUAUGUAACAAAAAAUAUAUAUUUAAAAACUAUAUUCACGUAGAAAUCUGAUGAUAUAUUUUUCAUGACAUAUAACACAUAUUUAAUGCCUCAAAUUGAUGACCUAGAACUACGCGAAUGACUUAUUCAUCUAGACGGAGGUAGUAUAUACUGAGUAUUACUGUACACACACGCUGCGCGCUGAGCAAACGAACAACGGAACAAGCGCCACCGCUUUGCUGACUACGCGCGCGCCGCUCAACGUUGCCUCUGCCGUGUGCCGUCUAAUCCUCCGCCGCUUCCUCGCGCGCCUCCCCUGCUUCGCCUCCACGUCUCCCACACCUGUCUCCCUAUGAGCACCCACGCACGCCGUAUAUAACCACCAUAACCACACAUGAUCCAUCACGCUCGGGGCAACGCGGCUGAUAACCAGACGCCUUCUCGCUAAGAUGAGCCAGGGGCAGCAGAGGAGGCCGUCGUCUGACCAAGCCCAGGCGGACGGCGGCGGGCAGAGCCAGGAACAGGGAGGAGGCGCCGUCCGCUACGGCGACGUGUUCCUGGCCGUGACCGGCGGCCUCGCGGAGAAGCCCGUGGCGCCGCAGGACGCGGCCACGAUGCAGUCGGCGGAGAACCUCGUGUUCGGGGAGACGAUCAAGGGCGGGCCGGCGGCCACCAUGCAGUCCGCGGCCAUGCGGAACGAGCGCAUGGGCGUCGUCGGCCACGACCAGGCCACGGACGCCACAGCCGAGCAGGGCGUCACCGUGUCCGAGACCUGCGUCCCCGGCGGACGCAUCGUCACCGAGUUCGUCGCCGGGCAGGUCGUCAGCCAGUACCUCGCGCCGGAUGGUGCCGACCCUGCUAGGGGAGCCGCUGGCGACGAUACGAAGAUGACAAUCGGUGAGGCGCUGGAGGCGGCAGGUUAUGCUGCAGGAGACAGGCCGGUGGAGCACAGCGACGCGGCGGCCAUCCAGGCGGCCAAAGUGAGAGCCACCGGGCAGGACGUCUAUAUCCCCGGGGAUCUGGCCGCGCAGGCGCAGUCGGCCGCCGACGCCAACCUCUGGGCCGCGCGCGACGAGGAGAAGGCCAAGCUCGGUGAAGUGCUCUCGGUAUGUCUGUAGUAUGUCCCGCACAUCGACGCUACCAGUACACAUAUGCUUGAAUCCUUGAUGUCACUGACGACGAUGGUCAACCUGAUGGUCGACCUGCGUGCACGCAGAAUGCGACGGCGAAGCUGGUUGCCCACAAGGAGCGGAAUGCGACGGCGAAGCUGGUUGCGGACAAGGAGGUGGAGUCCGACGACGCGGCGAGGGUGGCCUCGGCGGAGACCCGAAACAAGGACGACAAGACGGUGAGGCCGGGAGGGAUAGCGGCGUCCGUGGCUGCGGCCGCGCGGCUCAACAAGCAGGACGCAUAGGCAGGCCUCUGCCGUGCCAGUGGUUUGCGGGUGCCGGCCGCCGGCCGCUCGAGUUUAGCGUGUCCUUUCGCAUGAAGGAUCACUCUCCUUCGUGCCAGCAUCUAGUUCUCGCGCUUCUAGCAUACCAGCGUCUUAGUUUCUGUAGUUCUAGUGCUUCUAGCUUAGUUGAAGUGUUCUCGUGCUUGUAGCUUACUUGAAGUCAAGUCUUAAACUUACUGUAAAAAUGUAAUUCCACUGCUAUCGCAACACUUCUCGUUUAAUUACGCUGUUUAAUUCGGGGUUCACGCAUGACCAUAUUGUUCAGCAAACACAAACAUAAAAACACUCCAAAUUAAGUCCGUGCUACUUCUAGCAUGCACAAAUACUACCAGGAAACAAUAUCAAAGAUGGCAUACCACGUCUGGACAAACAUGUACUACGAAUAUUUAUUCACUUAUGUCCGACCGACAUGAUGAGGAGCACCGGGGGAGUCGGGACCCGGGCGGCAAGUGAACGGCAUCCCAAUGUAACUAGAGAACUUUGGCCUCUGGAUUCGUUGCACCAUCCGGUCCUUGUCGUUGCCAAGGAUGAACUUACGGGAGGUGAAGGAGAAGGGCAAGGGGAAGGAAGAUGAGGAGAAGUCUUGGUGCCAUUUUCAGUAUGAAUUCCUGCCGAACUUUUGUUACACAUGUGGUGUCAUGGGACACAGUGAUCGAGAUUNNNNNNNNNNNNNNNNNNNNNNNNNNNNNNNNNNNNNNNNNNNNNNNNNNNNNNNNNNNNNNNNNNNNNNNNNNNNNNNNNNNNNNNNNNNNNNNNNNNNNNNNNNNNNNNNNNNNNNNNNNNNNNNNNNNNNNNNNNNNNNNNNNNNNNNNNNNNNNNNNNNNNNNNNNNNNNNNNNNNNNNNNNNNNNNNNNNNNNNNNNNNNNNNNNNNNNNNNNNNNNNNNNNNNNNNNNNNNNNNNNNNNNNNNNNNNNNNNNNNNNNNNNNNNNNNNNNNNNNNNNNNNNNNNNNNNNNNNNNNNNNNNNNNNNNNNNNNNNNNNNNNNNNNNNNNNNNNNNNNNNNNNNNNNNNNNNNNNNNNNNNNNNNNNNNNNNNNNNNNNNNNNAGAGGACUGGAAGUGGAUGAGCAGAUCACAGUGAAAAAGAGUCGGGCCAAGGUGUUGUUGCACAACACUUCAUAUAACGCGGGGCUGCCGGAACAGCCCUGCGGUAACCAAUGAUGCUAAUAGCAUGAAAUUGUCGGGGAUUGGAGAACGACACGACAAUUCAAGGUCUUCUGGAUCUCCAGAAGAAGGAGGAUCCCGAUGUUCUAUUUUUAUAGCAACGAAGGUUGGAAUGGCUGAGAUGGAAAAUGAAUAUGACUUGCAUGAUGGUUAAAACAAUGAAGGUCAAAGCGGUGGGUUAGCUCUGUUUUGAGUUAAUUACACAAAACCAUCACAUUUGGAGUAUUGUUUGUAGAAAACCACGAGGUCACUAAUUUUUUGCAAAAACCACCGCGCAUUCAGUAAACCUUUUGCAAUAAGCACUGAUAGGCGGAUUUAGCUCGUUUGAUCACUUUCUGACAGUGGGGCCGGAUAAUAAGAAGCUGAUUUGGUAAAAAAACACGAAUAGUGGGGCUUUUUUGUAAAUAAGAGAAACGUGAAGGAUGAAAACGUAAAAUAUUCAAAGGAUAAGGUUAUCUUCUCCUUCUCCCGUGUACACUGGAGCCACCAACCAUCUGUACGAGCUCAUGGCCGGCGUGUACAGAGGAGCUUGUUCCCGGUGGUUCCUUGCUCAUGGCCGCAUCCAAGGACCCCCGCCGGGGCCGGAGCUCUGCCAACCGCCUCCAUCAACCGGAUUCGGGCGUCCUUAGUCGCCCCUACGCCGCCUGCCUUCGUAUCCGCUUCAAGCCCAGCAACCAAGCUCCAGAGAUCGAGCGGAUCGAUCGAUCCGCCGAGCAUCUGCCACCCCAAUCCACGCGGACCUCGCCGCCGGCGCCUCCCUUNNNNNNNNNNNNNNNNNNNNNNNNNNNNNNNNNNNNNNNNNNNNNNNNNNNNNNNNNNNNNNNNNNNNNNNNNNNNNNNNNNNNNNNNNNNNNNNNNNNNNNNNNNNNNNNNNNNNNNNNNNNNNNNNNNNNNNNNNNNNNNNNNNNNNNNNNNNNNNNNNNNNNNNNNNNNNNNNNNNNNNNNNNNNNNNNNNNNNNNNNNNNNNNNNNNNNNNNNNNNNNNNNNNNNNNNNNNNNNNNNNNNNNNNNNNNNNNNNNNNNNNNNNNNNNNNNNNNNNNNNNNNNNNNNNNNNNNNNNNNNNNNNNNNNNNNNNNNNNNNNNNNNNNNNNNNNNNNNNNNNNNNNNNNNNNNNNNCGAGCAGCCGACGAACUCGCAGCUGUGUCACAUCCGUCGAGUCCCCGGUGGCACCUGGGCGCGUGCAUCCAUGGGAGCGAGCUCCUCCAACACAACAGAUAACCCUAGGGACACGCAUGGAGGUUGGCCCCCAUCCACGGUGUCGAGCGGCACUGGGCAUCCCUGGCAGACGGCCGAGGCGCGGCGACGGCAUCCCGGCGGCUGCCUCCGCGAAGUCCCCGCCGUGGACGCUGCACAGGAGCUGCUGUCCGCGAGGGAGGGGGAGGGGGUUGAUUGCUUUUAUUUUUAAGAUCUAAGAGUGUACAUGUAAAUGUUUUGCCAAGUCAGCUUCCGACAAUUUGGCCCCACUUGUCAGAAAGUGAUCAAACGAUUUAAAUCACUCGAUCAGUGUUUUUUGCAAAAGGUUUACUAAAUCUGUGGUGUUUCUUGCAAAAAAUUAGUGACCUCGUCGUUUUCUGCAAACGAUGCCCCAAAUGUGGUGGUUUUCUGCAAUUAACUCCUCUGUUCUGGAAGUAGAUAAAUCUAAGAGUCAUUGGGUUCAUGUCCAAAUACCAUAUCGAUGCUGAAAUCACGGAGGAAGAUGGAUUUAAGUGGCGGUUUACUGGAGUGUAUGGGGAAUCGAAAAUGGAUGAGAAUGAGAAAACGUGGAGGCUGCUAAGAAAUCUGGAACACCAAAAUGCUAAGCCAUGAAUCUGCGCGGGGGACUUCAACGGAAUUCUUCAUGGAUGGGAGAAGGAGGGUGGAGCACCUAGAAGCCAGAGGUAUAUGGACCGUUUCAAGGCUGCACUGGAGCUGGGGGAUCUCGGGUUCACGGGUGAUGUCUUCACAUGGAGAAACAAUAGUCAUACAACCAAAGAUUACACAAGGGAGAGAUUAGAUAGGGCUGUGGCUACCCAAUCAUGGUGCCAACGGUUCACAGCCUACUGGGUAAACAACGACGAUCCUCGACACUCAGACCAUAGGCCUAUAAUCAUUGAUACAACAGGGGCAGCAGCUGUGAGAAGAGGGCCGGGUCAGUUUUGUUCACGAAGAUUUGAAGCAGGCUGGGUCGAGGAGGAGGGGUUCUGGGAGAUUGUGCUGAAUACAUGGGGGAGGGAAAGAAGUGUAGAGGGCAAUGAGGUGGCGGGCGCAGUGAGGGGAGUGAUGAAGGAGCUUUUUGACUGGAGCAAAAACAUCCUUGGAGACCUAGAGAAGUGUAUCCACCGAACAAAAAAGGAACUCGAGGAGGUUAGAAGGAAGAACAUAAGUGAAGAUCAAGUCCGGCGAGAGCAUAUGUUGCGGUUCAAGCUAAGCCGCUUGGAGGAACAACUGGAAACUUAUUGGAAACAACGGGCACAUGUUAAUUGGAUGAAAGGAGGGGACCGAAAUACCAAGUUUUUCCAUGCAGCGGCUUCAGAGAUAAGAAGGAAGAAUAGAAUUAGGAGGCUUAGGAAGGAGGAUGGCGGGGUGGUAGAGAGGGAGGAAGAGAUGAAGGAAGAAGUUACUAACUAUUUUUAAAAGCUCUUUACCUCCCAUGCAGGAAAUCGCCACCCUGGCUUGUGUGCACCCGCGCGUCACCCCAGCCAUGAAUGAUCUUCUUCAGAGAGAGUAUGCACGGGAGGAGGUUUUUGAGGCAUUGAUGAGCAUUGGAGAUCUGAAAGCGCCUGGUCCGGACGGCAUGCCUUCGGUCUUCUAUAAGAGAUGUUGGGACAUUGUUGGAGACGAUGUUGUGACCGAGGUUCUGGCUGUGUUGAAUGGUGGACCUAUGCCAGAUGGGUGGAAUGAGACGUAUGUGGUGCUGAUCCCCAAAGUUAAAAGCCCAGAGAGUAUGAAGGAUCUUCGACCGAUUAGCCUUUGCAAUGUUGUCUACAAGUUGGUCUCAAAGGUUCUUGCAAAUAGGUUGAAGCAAAUCCUUCCAGAAAUCAUAUCACCGAACCAGAGUGCCUUCGUUCCUGGUAGAAUGAUCAGGAUAAUAUCUUACUAGCCUACGAGUGCACCCACUAUAUGAAGAAUAAAAGGGGAGGUAAAUAUGGCCAUGUUGCGGUUAAGCUUGAUAUGAGUAAAGCAUAUGAUCGGAUUGAGUGGCUCUUUCUUGAGAAGAUGAUGCACAAGUUGGGGUUUAAUGAUCAGUGGAUUGAGAGGAUCAUGUUGUGUGUCAAGUCAGUCUCAUACAAGAUCAAAGUCAAUGGGGAGUGCACUGACACAAUCAUCCCACAAAGAGGGUUGAGGCAGGGGGACCCCCUUCCCCAUAUCUCUUCCUGAUUUGUGCUGAGGGGUUCUCCUCUCUGUUGAAUGCCGCGGAAGUGGAUGGAUCCUUGAGUGGGAUCCGAAUUUGCAAUGCAGUCCUGAGAUUUAACCAUCUAUUGUUUGCAGAUGACUCACUAGUACUUAUUAAAGCUUCGCGUGAGAGUGCUACGUCACUGCAAAAUUUGCUACAACUAUAUGAGGUGUGCUCGGGUCAGGUUGUGAAUUAUGAGAAGUCGUCUAUAAUGUUCAGCAAGAACACUAGGCAGGUGAAAAGAAAUGAGGUUCUGCAUACAUUGCACAUACGAGCUGAGGCAAGAACAGAAAAAUAUUUAGGACUACCCGUUUAUGUGGGAUAAGCGAGAAAACAGACUUUUGAAUAUUUAAAGGGGAGAAUUUGGCAAAAGAUCCAAGGGUGGCAGGAAAGGUUAUUGUCAAAGAUGGGCAAGGAUGUCCUGAUUAAAGCUUGCGCUCAAGCAAUCCCAACUUUCGCCAUGUCUUGUUUUGAUCUAACCAAGACGCUGUGUGAGGAAAUAAGCACCAUGAUAUGUCACUUUUGGUGGGCAAAGCAAGAGAAGAGCAACACGAUGCAUUGGCUAAGUUGGGAUUUGCUAACGAAAAAGGAUGGCGGUAUGGGGUUUCAGGAUAUAUACGGAUUCAACAUGGCCAUGCUUGCAAGACAGGCCUGGCGUAUGCUCACAGUACCGGACUCGUUGUGUGCCCAGGUGUUGAAAGCUCGAUAUUUCCCAUGGUCAUCCAUUCUGGAAGCUGAAGCUCAUGUGGGGAUUUCAUACACAUGGCGUAGAAUUCUCAAGGGGGUCACUACUGAAAGAAGGGCUGGUAUACAGGGUGGUCUAUGGUACUUCGAUCAGAAUCUGGUCCGACCCUUGGCUCGCUCGGGAUGGUGUGAGAACCCCAACAACACGGAGGGGGGAUGCUUACUAACCAGGGUCUGCGAGCUGGUGGAUCCGGACACCCAAAGCUGGGAUGAAAGGCUUGUGAAGGAUAUGUUUAGAGAGGAUGAGGCCAAAAUCAUACUUGCUACUCCGGUCCGAGAGGAACACGAUGAUUUCUAUGCAUCGCACUAUGAUAGCAAAGGUAUGUUCUCUGUCAAGUCUGCCUACAAGGUUUAUGUCUCGGGGAGGGAUGCAUGUCUUCCACAAUGUGUGAAUCCACAACCAAACAGCUGGGAAUGGAAGGAAAUAUGGAGCAUACCUUGUCAACCAAAGAUUCAGCAGUUUAUAUGGCGACUAGCACACAACAGCCUACAUUUGAAACUUAGCAUGAAACGGAGGGGUGUCGAUUGCGACAUCUUGUGUGUAUGCUGUAAGAGGUUAGACGAGGAUGGGGCGCAUUUGUUUCCAAGAUGCAAGCAGGUUAAGAAGGUAUGGCGGUCCCUUCAACUAGAGGCACUACGACAGAGACUUUGCGAAUGCAGGGAUGCACAUGAAAUGCUGCGACUGCCGGAAGAUAGAAAAGUUCUGGUUGUAUGCUUGCUUUGGAAAUGGUGGAACUGGAGGAAUAAAACAAAUGCUGGGGAGAAGAAUGUGCCUCUGGAGAGCCUGUCUGCUGAGAUUACUAAUUGGGCUAUUGAUUCUCUAGCUCUGUGCAAGCCAUCUCGUACUGAAGCUCAUACUGAUGCCGGACAGCAAGCAGUGCAGGAGUGGAGAAAGCCCGAGGGAGACCGACUUAAAAUAAACUGCGAUGGGGCCUUCAUGGAACAUCUUGACAGGGGUGGCUGUGGCUUCGCGAUCCGGGAUCAGGCUGGGGAUGUACGAGGAUCAGGUGCAGGAUUUUUGAGCCAUGUGGCUUCAGCGAUACGGGCUGAAGCAGAGGGGUGCGCAAUGGCACUUGCGGCGGCGUCCAGCUGGGGUAUGACAGACAUCGAGGUUGAAUUGGACUGUUAACAGUUGGUUAACGCCCUGAAUGGUACUGGAUUAAACCUGGCACCUGAAGGCGUCCUUUUCAGGGAGAUACGUGCGUUCGCAAGGCUGAACUUCAACUCUGUUUCGUUUAAUUUUGCCCCACGGGCAUGUAACAAGCUAGCUCACGCUUUAGCUGCUUAUGGCGCUCGCCGCCAAGUUGAUCAGGAGUGGUGGUCCAAGGACCUGCCGGACGAUGUACACGUUUGUGUGGCCAGCAUCUUGGCUGGACCAGUGUGAUCUAUGGAAUAUAGUGUUCCAUCCCAAAAAAAAAAGGGACGAACUUACGGGAACCCCGGCAGGGUGCAAAAUGUCCCAGCUGCCAGGACAGAACGCGCAGCUCUUCCUGUGCCGGCCAAGCGGCUCCUCUGCGUGCACGCAUGUCAUCAAACACUAGAGAAUCAGAAACUAAACCAACUAGGCAACUAGCUAAUCGAGAGACGGCGAUCGAUGCCUACCGAUGACGACGCACACUUCAACGGCGGCAUUGCCGUGCUUGUAGCGCACCUCGGCGAAGAAGCGCUUGAUCCUGUUGCUCUUGCGGCUGCGGGCCCAGAAGUUGAUGUGGGCCCACAGCUGCUCCUUGAAGGUCGCCGUUGAUGCCAUCAGAGGCUUCACGGCGUCGUACUCGUCGCCCUGCAGAAAUUACACAUGCCAAUGUCAUCAUGUCACCAAGGAAGCACACACGCAGAAGGAUAGCUGGUUGUGAACUUGUGAUGAAAUGAUGAGAGAGAGCUGCGUUGUAGUGGAGGAGAGCGUGGCCGGCGUGGCGCAUGAUGGCGGUGUCACGCCUUCUGCAUCAUCAAAUGCAGCUGGAGUAACUUGUCUGAAUUUGUAGACGGUUGAUUACCUGGUGCCGAUGCAAAUAAUGAAGAGAACUGCAUGCAGUCGUUUAAUCAUUACUACCUUCGUUUCGGUUUACAAGUCCUGCAUGUAUACCUAGUUUGUCAAUUUUAUCAUCCUAAUAUAAACUAUAUAACACAAAAAUUAUAUCUCUUGAAAGUAGAAACUCCGAAGUUUAUGUUGGUAUAUUUUUUUAUAAUAUAUGAAUUGUAUUAGUUUGGUCAAAUUGACGACCUAGGGAUACGCGCACGCCCUAUAAACUAAGAGAGAGGUAGUACCACUUAUCUGAAUUUUUGAACAUCUAUAAAUGACAGUCGUCAUAGGCUCAUAGCGACAGUUUGUAAACUCUAAACAUUGAACAUUGAACCGUAACUGGAUUUUUAAACACUGAAAAUUAUGAUACUGUCCUGCCUGAAUUUUUGAACAGUGUGUUAUCUCAAUUUCUUCGGUCUUAUAUAGACUGAAUUUAAUUAAAUUUUGUAGUAGAUGUUGACGAUUGACUAGUCUGCAUUUGCAGUUAUUGUUAGCAAAUUUAUUUAGCAUUUUUAGAACAACUUGGCAACCUUUGCACUGUCAUUUACAGAAAUUAAGUUAACUGCAAAUUGCUAACUGAAUUUUGAUCUUUGAUGGUCUAUUUACCAUGGAGAUUCACCAAAAAGAUUAUUUUUCAUAACAGUGAUUGCCUGAUUAGAUGUGACUCACUUGGUCGCAUUAGCAUGUUAUGUACAGCAUCUUUAACUGUAUCCCUUAGGACUUCCUCGAUUAGUGAAUGACAAGAAAAAUUCACAAGGCUUGUGUCUAAAGUUUCUAUCGGUUUUAUUUCCAUCGAUCGUCAAGGACUCAUAAGCUGUCGUUCAUGCUGAAGAGUCCGCAGCUCUUCAGUUCAACAGAGAUACCUUCCGUUAGCUCUAAAUAGAUCUACCUUUGCUAUGCGCAAGCCCACGACAUCGCAUGAUCAAUUUUAGCAUCGCACCCAAAUUGCUGCCGUCUUUAAUUUAGGUCAAUCAGUAGUAACUUUAGGGGGUUAAUGUAGGAAGGCCUCCACAGCUAGCAGUGACCUAAUAUAAACCUGUCUCGUUGAUCUACAAAAAAAAAAC